AUAUCCCUGUGCAGCUUGACUCCAAAACAGACAAGGAGUGCAUUGUGACACUGAAGAAGGCAGAAAAAACCAACUGGAGCAAGCAUGUCAUCAUCCAUGGAGCUGGUGCCAGAAAGCCCUGUUGUGCCUGGCUGAUUACUGAACGAUUAAAGCUUGAAGGGGGGAAUCUCCUUCCAUCUGCUGCAUGGACUGCUGCCUCACUCAACAGGAACUGAGAUUUCUCCUCUGCAUUGCUGCACCUGCUCUGGAGACUCCCCAAGCUACAGCUAGGAUGUGCUUCACGAGCAUACAGGAGUCAAAAGUCCCAAACUCAUGCCAUGUAACUGGACCAGGCUGAGGUGUUGCUGCUUGCUAUGAAUUUUCACCUUUUCUUGAAAUAAAGUGGUAAUGAAAGUCGU